rnacentral:SRP_RNA from 1 species
GCCGGGUGUGGUGGCGGGCGCCUGUAGUCCCAGCUACUCAGGAGGCUGAGGCAGAAGAAUGGCGUGAACCUGGGAGGCGGAGCUUGCAGUGAGCCGAGAUUGUGCCACUGCAUUCCAGCCUGGGCGACAGAGCAAGACUCCGUUAUUUAUUUAUUUAUUUAUUUGAGAUGGAGUCUUGCUCCGUCGCCCAGGCUGGAGUGCAGUGGCAUGAUCUUGGCUCACUGCAACCUCCGCCUCUCAGGUUCAAGUGAUUCUUCUGCCUCAG